rnacentral:rRNA from 1 species
UACGUAGGGGGCAAGCGUUGUCCGGAUUUAUUGGGCGUAAAGAGCUCGUAGGCGGUCUGUCGCGUCGGUCGUGAAAACUUGGGGCUUAACCCUGAGCUUGCGGUCGAUACGGGCAUGACUGGAGUUCGGCAGGGGAGACUGGAAUUCCUGGUGUAGCGGUGAGAUGCGCAGAUAUCAGGAGGAACACCGGUGGCGAAGGCGGGUCUCUGGGCCGAUACUGACGCUGAGGAGCGAAAGCGUGGGGAGCAAACAGG